GAUGAUCAAAGGUUAGUGAUUAAUUUUCUCUCUAUUUGUGGUUUUUGUGACUCUGGCUGGAAAAUAUUUGGCUGGAAAAAUGGCUGUGUUUUUUCUGUGGCUAUGUGGUGAUCUAAUAAUUGUUUGUGGUGCUUUUGGUGUAAAGCAUAUUUGAAAUCGAACACUGUGGUGGGAUUAACAACAAGAUUAGCUUUAAAAUGGUAUGAGAUACAUGUAUGUUUGAGGAAUUUUAAUUAUGAGAUUUUUGAUGUUUUGAAAUUGACGCCCUGUGCUUUCACUGGCUGUUGUCAUAUCGCUCCUGUUAUCGGGAUUGCAGCCAUAAGAACCUAGUGGAUGGCAGAUCCCACUACAACACGUUUGACGGGCAGGCUUUUGAGUUCCUUGGGACGUGACUACAUCCUGCUCCAUACCUGCCAGCUGCACUCUUAAACUGUUGAGGAGUUUAUGGUGGCUUUGCAUCAUGGCAGUGAGAAUGCAUCCCGGGAAAUACACAUGGUCAUCAUAGGAUGAAGAUGGUUCUCUGGCCAUCUUGGAGAGGUUCAGGUCAAUGGAGUCCUUGAGAACCUGCCCUUCUCCCACAGUGAUGCGAGUCUGCAUCAGAAUGGUCAUUUGGUAACCAUCCAGGCCCUUGGGUCAGUCCAGGUCAUCUCCAGUCUACACAACCUGCUCCUGGUAAAUAUCUCAGACUCAUCCUACUAGAGUAUGGCCUGUGGGGGAACUACAACAAUGACCCCAUGGAUGACCUACAGGUGCCCAACGGAACCCUGACCUCUGACCCCGAUGGGUUGUGUGUCGUCUGUUGGCAUGGGUCAUGUGCAGGCCUGCGUCCCCCUGCAGUGAUUGGUUUGGGGCUAACUGCCCCCUCUGUCAGUGCCCCUGCAUGGCUGUGAGCUCUACUGUGGCCUACUCACACUGCCUGGUGGCCCCUUCACCCCCUGUCACUCUGUAGUCCAGCCACAGACCCACUACAUGGCUGAUCUGUGAGUGGCAGGGUUUCAGACACAGCAGCCGCUGUGUGAGCAGCUGCAGGCCUAUCAUGUGGAGUGUCAGGAGGCAGGGGUCAAGGUGGGCCCAUGGAGGAACCACACUGGCUGUGCUCAUUGCCCCCAGUUCAGCCACUACAGCCUGUGUGCCAACACCUGUUCCUCUCUGUGCCUUGGAGUGGCGGGGUCUGUGCCGUGCCCAGAUGGCUGUGAGGAGGGGUGCCAAUGUGACCAAUGGUCAGGCCUGCGUACCAGCAGGGCAGUGUGGCUGCUGUCGGGACGGGAGGAGGUUUUAGAUACGUUUAUAGAAAAGCCUAUUGAUGGAAGAGCAGGCCUCUCCAGAAGUGCACUGCAGGCCUCCCACAGAUCUGCACCUGUGGGGCUUCCCUGGUCUGUGAACCAUUUGCUUGCCCUGACCAGCAUGUCUGCACUGUCUCAAAUGAAGUCCUCGGCUGCCACAGCACAGAGGGGUGUGUGUGUCCAGAGCAGUGUGGCUGUACUGAUCCCAGCGAAAACUACCAGACUCAAUACCACCUUCCGGACCCCAGAAGACUGUGGACAGCUCUGCCUCUGUGACCCAGCCACCGGGGACAUCCUCUGCACCCCUGCCCAGUGCCUCACAUGCUUACAUCUGUAAGCAGCUGGAGGGCAGGCGAGCCUGCCAACUCUCACAACCCUUCUACUGUACCUUGAUGGUUGGCAACAUUUAAUUUGUUUUGACGGGCAAGAGUUUUACUUCAGGGAUAGCUGUUCAUACAUGCUGGCUCAGUCAAGCUCCAAUCAGACAGGGUUGAUCCCCUUUACCGUCAGCAUCUCUGCUGCCAGCUGCAACAGCAGUUUAACUUUUUCCACCUCAGGUUAAUGGACUGCACAAACCCUUACCAUACUCCUUCCUUAAAAGCCUUGUGGUGACCUCUCUCCCCCUCGUCAUCCAGAUUGGAGUUUGGCCUGCAGCUGAUUCUGUAGAAGACUGGCACCACCAUGGUCAUCCUUACCCGCACCUAUGACUUUGCUGUGUCCGGUCUCUGUGGCAACGGCAACAGACAGGACGACUCCCUGCUGUCGGACGGCGAGCGUACUCGGAACACCCUGGAAUUGGCCCACAGCUGGAGGACAGGAGGGGCUGCAGGUCCACCUGUGGCUCCAGUCAGCUGGGGUGCAGCGAAGAGCAGGACCACAAAGCUGUUUGAGACCAGUGAUUUUCUGUGAGGCGCUGCUCAACGAUCUGAGUCUGUUUGGAGAGUGUGCCUCAGUGUUGAACCCUUAGCCUUACUUCCACAGCUGUGAUGACCAGUGUGACGUAUCCCGAGGCCAUGGGUGCCUGUGACGUGGUGAUGGCCAGGAACAGUGUGUUUGGAGGCUGCUGGAGAAGGGUGAAGGCCCAGUCCUACAGGGAUGAGUAUGUGAGGGCGGUGGGGCCACAUGGACGCCACCUGCCUCUCCCUGGAGGACUACGCCUCAGCCUUACAUUACAUAAAGUCAAUUUGCUGUGGCUCAGGUGUCACCGUCCUCAGGAUGAGGAGCAACUCUACAUGGGCUGUGCUGAAAAGUGAUGGCGUCAUCCCCUGGGAUGGAUGAUGUGGGAGAUGACGGCCUGCAGUCAAGGGCAGCAGUAGCCUCUGGGCUUGGGGGCUGCAAGGCCUGAGUCUGUUCCCUCCAGGACUGUUUCAAGCUGACCACUCUGAGUGGGCUGCAGCAGACCCUGGAGCCCCAGGCCCCCUACCUGCUGGUGUCCCUGUGUGACAUAGCUAGUGACGCGUAGUUCAGAAUGUUAUCCUACCGUGGGGUCUGUGGAAACUCCAGGCCUGUCAAUGUGCUGCAUGUCUUGCUGAAUGGCAAGAACUUUGUGACCCAGGAUGGCCAUGUGGAGGUGAACGGACCCUGUCCCACCCCUAUUCUCUCUCCUCCUCAUCCCUGUCCCUCAGUAUGACCCAGGAGAGGUCAGGGGUCGAGGUGGUCCUGAGGGAUCCUUGGAAGGACACUAAGCUGGAGGUUGAAGUGUGCGUCUCUGUGGUGACGGUAAAGCUGUCGCAGUGGUCUGCCUGGUGAGCUGUGCGGUCUCUAUGGAAACCACAACACACUGCUGUCGGAGUAAGGCCAGGCCACUGUCCUCGCAGACUUCCCUGGCUGGUACACAUUUAAGUGCAUUUAGUAUUCAUCCCUAGAAUCCUUAUUUGUCAUUAUAGCAAGUCAGUUAUGUUUCUAAAUACCGUUCGCUCUCCUCACAGUGGCUUCAAUUGAUAAAGGAUGACGACCCACUAAUGUAUGCAAAUCUGUUUUAAAACCUUUGAAAA